CAGGAUGAACGCUGGCGGCGUGCCUAAUACAUGCAAGUCGAACGCACAGCGAAAGGUGCUUGCACCUUUCAAGUGAGUGGCGAACGGGUGAGUAACACGUGGACAACCUGCCUCAAGGCUGGGGAUAACAUUUGGAAACAGAUGCUAAUACCGAAUAAAACUCAGUGUCGCAUGACACAAAGUUAAAAGGCGCUUUGGCGUCACCUAGAGAUGGAUCCGCGGUGCAUUAGUUAGUUGGUGGGGUAAAGGCCUACCAAGACAAUGAUGCAUAGCCGAGUUGAGAGACUGAUCGGCCACAUUGGGACUGAGACACGGCCCAAACUCCUACGGGAGGCUGCAGUAGGGAAUCUUCCACAAUGGGCGAAAGCCUGAUGGAGCAACGCCGCGUGUGUGAUGAAGGCUUUCGGGUCGUAAAGCACUGUUGUAUGGGAAGAACAGCUAGAAUAGGGAAUGAUUUUAGUUUGACGGUACCAUACCAGAAAGGGACGGCUAAAUACGUGCCAGCAGCCGCGGUAAUACGUAUGUCCCGAGCGUUAUCCGGAUUUAUUGGGCGUAAAGCGAGCGCAGACGGUUGAUUAAGUCUGAUGUGAAAGCCCGGAGCUCAACUCCGGAAUGGCAUUGGAAACUGGUUAAC
rnacentral:rRNA from 1 species